AACGAACGCUGGCGGCAUGCCUAACACAUGCAAGUCGAACGAAGGCUUCGGCCUUAGUGGCGCACGGGUGCGUAACGCGUGGGAACCUGCCCCUCGGUUCGGAAUAACAGUUAGAAAUGACUGCUAAUACCGGAUGAUGACUUCGGUCCAAAGAUUUAUCGCCGAGGGGUGGGCCCGCGUAGGAUUAGCUUGUUGGUGGG
rnacentral:rRNA from 1 species